rnacentral:rRNA from 1 species
GAUGAACGCUGGCGGCGUGCCUAAUACAUGCAAGUCGAACGAGGUGCUUUUUGUAGCAAUACGAGGAGUAUCCUAGUGGCGAACGGGUGAGUAACGCGUGGGUGACCUACCCCAAAGUGUGGAAUAACAGUCCGAAAGGAUUGCUAAUGCCGCAUGUGGUCUGCGAGUUUAGAAAUCGUUGACUAAAGGAGCAAUUCGCUUUGGGAGGGACCUGCGUCCCAUCAGCUAGUUGGUGAGGUAACGGCUCACCAAGGCUACGACGGGUAGGGGACCUGAGAGGGUGGCCCCCCACAAUGGAACUGAAACACGGUCCAUACACCUACGGGUGGCAGCAGUAGGGAAUAUUGCACAAUGGGCGGAAAGCCUGAUGCAGCAACGCCGCGUGCGCGAUGAAGGUCUUCGGAUCGUAAAGACGCUUUUCUGAGAGAUGAGAAAGGACAGUAUCUCAGGAAUAAGUCUCGGCUAACUACGUGCCAGCAGCCGCGGUAAU